rnacentral:lncRNA from 1 species
UAAUUGUUAACAUUUAUUUUAUUGAUGUAAUUCUUUCUAUCAGAUACAACUGAAUUCAACAAAGACAUGAACAAUUUGAUUAUUGGGACCUUUAAUUGUUACAGAUCAGUUUUACUCAGACUAGAAAAUUUCAUAACAAUUAUUGAACACAAUGUUGUACAUUUGUAGUAUGAGUUUAUAACAGCAAAUGUGACCUUUGAACAACUCAACACAUAUCCUAUGAUAUUCUAAUAUAGACUUUUUAACAGUACUUGAUAACUUCUACAAGUAUUAUAACAAAACCCUUUAAGAUAACUACUACAAGUAGUAUAAAUAAAUCCUUGAAAGCUCAUCAAAAAUGAUCAUUGAAGAUUUCAAUCACAUGGUUUUCUUGUUCAUUGCAAUCCUGUUUUGAUGGUAAGUUUUGCUGUUUCCAUUUUUUGUCUUGAAAAUUUUAAAUGUUUGCAAAAACAUUAAAUUUAUAAAAAAAAUUGUUAUUAAGGUGGCAAUAACACCUAUAAGUGGAUGCACAAGUAAAGUUAUCUUCACCUAUUUAGAACUUUUGUUGCUCAAUAUUUUUACUGUUUUAUAACUUUAUAUCAUAAUUCUCAAAAUUAUAGCCAAAAAUACCAAAGCUAAAUGGGUGAAAAAUGGCAAUUUAGCCAUAGGGAAUCAAUUGAUAAUUCCAAAAGGUAGAAAGUGGCAUUCUGAUGGUUGAGGUGAUCAGUCCAUUAGAUUGUAAAAAUUGAUUACAUGACAACCAUAAUAGAUGGCACAUGCUUACCUGGACCUAUUAUUUCCGAAGAGCAAACUGUGUAAUUAAUUGACAAAUUUUGCAUUGUUUUUUUUUAUGUUUCAAAUCAUGUAUGUGAACUUUCUGAAGUGUAUUAAUUAUUCGAAAAGUGACUUUUCAGAGGUAUAUUUAUACUACUUAUAACAAAUUUUCAAAAAAACUUAAUAUAAAUCACAUCAAUAUUAACUAUUAAAAAGGUUUUUUCAAAGACACAUCUUGCAGUGAUUGUUAAAUUUAUAAACAUGCAAUCAAAUACCAUUAACUAGUGACAGAAGUGUAAUAAACUUUGAAAUUCUAUCAAAAGAAUACAAAUCAAUCAGAAAGAGCAUCUGUUUUCCUGCAGAUACAGAAACAAUGAGAAAUAAAAUUUGAAAAGGACAUCCAUGGUCCAGAUAGUAAAAAAAAUAAUAUAUCAACAACCACAUAUGUAUAUAUAUUUCCAAAAUUAUCAAAACAGUAUACUAGAAAAAAAACAUUUAAAAAGAUUAACUUUGUUAGCUAAAUAAACCCAAUUCACCAAGUGUUGGUUAAGAAAUUUAAUAUAUAAAUAAAAUGUGUUCAUUGCUCUUGUUACCAUGUGGCAGAUACAUUAUCAAACAAUUUUCCAUGUACAAUUUAAAUGAAUGCAUUAAACAAGUACUGCUUUAUAAAGAUUUAUGCCAGAGAAGGCAGCCUUAAAAUAUGAGACUGAGGUAAAAAAAACUUGGUAAGCUUGUCCAGUUACUCCAGAACAUUUAAAAAAAACAGACACUUUUGGCAAUAUUUAUACAAAUGAACUGCAUAGACAAAUAAUUCUGCACCAUAAACUCUUGCAUAAGGUAAUACUUAAAAAAAAUACUGAGACAUUUAUUAAAAUAAUUUUAUAUGUUGGUUUGGACAAAAAAGCAAAACAUGUGCAUUUAUUGUCCAACAACAUAAUUUUUUUUUAAUUUUGUGGCCUUAUUAUUAAAUUACAAAAUGUUUCAAAUAGUUCAAUAUUAAGAACUGGCAAAUAAUUAAACUUCAAUCAGUUAUUCAUAUAAUAAAAGUUUAUAAAGUUUAUGAACGAAAUUAUUUUCUCCAAAUUUUGCAUAAUUUAUUUGAUCACAUUGAAACUAAUGUGUUUAAAACAGUUAUGGGGUGAUGAAAAAUAUCAUAAACAUUUGUAAAAUAUACAAAAAAAUUUAAAACAACAACAUGAUUAACAAUGGUUUAAAAUAGGUAGAGUUAACUGACACAUCGAACACAUUUAUAUAUAAAAUGAAAUUGUUUUUAAAAAUGAACACAACAGAAUUUUAUGUAAAAUGCCCAACAAAUCUGAUGAAUUUAACAUAAAUAAAAUGAAAUUUAAAAAGUUAAAUAGAUGAAUUAAAAUAAUAAUAUCUGGCAGUGUUAAAUGAAUUUGAUUUUUUCAACGAGAAAAAGUCGGCAGUUUUUAAAACUGAAAAAUAAAAGUUAAACCAAAUUAGUGAACACAAUCAGGCAAAGCAUAAAAAUUAAGGCAGUGUUAAAACUAUACAAAACUGAUUAAAUACUGUAACAAGCAAAAGGUUCAUUUUUGUAGGGCUAUAUAUCUGAGAUCAUUUUCCAUUGAAAAAAAACAACUAAUACAAUUAUUUUCCUACACCUUCUGUGACUCACUUAAGACAUUUCUUCUAUAUCGUUUACAGAUUUCACUUAUAUGUACAAUUAUAAUUUCAAAUCUUCUAUUACUUUAUUAUCAAUUAAACUUGUUUAAUUUAUAAAAAAGACAUGAAACCCUUCAGAAACGCAACAGGAGCCACAGAAAGUCCAAUCUAUGUGCAUGUAUAUUUUCUUAAUUAUGUGCUGCAUACUGUCAAGUUAUUAGAUUAAUUGUACGGUAAGCACUUUAAAAUUAAUUUACCCCUGAAUCAAUUAUACGCACAUCUUGUACAUUAAGAUAAAAUACAAACUAAUCGUUUAAAAUUUUUCUGCAACCCGCAUUGCUAUUAUAUAUAUAUUAAUACAGCUAUUUGCAAAACACAAGUUAAUUUCAAGGGGUUAAAAGUGUGAAGUCACUAUUUAAUUAAAAUCAACCAAAUGGACGGACAAAUCUACAACCUUGUACAUGUUAAGUAAUAUGGUAAGUAUAUUUUAAAUUCUUAUGCAUAAUAGAAAUCAGUAUUAUUUUACUCAAUGUAAUUACAAAGGCCUUCUGUUAUUACACAGGAUGAAUAUGGCGCAUGAAACUGUUUGCAAGAAACUUGCUAUAAUUUUUUAUUGAAAGAUAUUAGGAAAAUGAUUUUAUAUUUCAAUAAAC